UACAGAGGUCCCAAGCGUUGUUCGGAUUCACUGGGCGUAAAGGGUGCGUAGGUGGUGAGGUAAGUCGGAUGUGAAAUCUCCGGGCUCAACCCGGAAAUGGCAUUGGAAACUACCUUGCUUGAGGAUUUGAGGGGGGAUUGGAAUACUUGGUGUAGCAGUGAAAUGCGUAGAUAUCAAGUGGAACACCAGUGGCGAAGGCGAAUUCCUGGAAAAUACCUGACACUGAGGCACGAAAGCUAGGGGAGCAAACAGG
rnacentral:rRNA from 1 species